GGUAUUGAUUGGUGCUUGCAUCAUGAUUUACAUUUGAGUGAGUGGCGAACUGGUGAGUAACACGUGGGAAACCUGCCCAGAAGCGGGGGAUAACACCUGGAAACAGAUGCUAAUACCGCAUAACAACUUGGACCGCAUGGUCCGAGUUUGAAAGAUGGCUUCGGCUAUCACUUUUGGAUGGUCCCGCGGCGUAUUAGCUAGAUGGUGGGGUAACGGCUCACCAUGGCAAUGAUACGUAGCCGACCUGAGAGGGUAAUCGGCCACAUUGGGACUGAGACACGGCCCAAACUCCUACGGGAGGCAGCAGUAGGGAAUCUUCCACAAUGGACGAAAGUCUGAUGGAGCAACGCCGCGUGAGUGAAGAAGGGUUUCGGCUCGUAAAACUCUGUUGUUAAAGAAGAACAUAUCUGAGAGUAACUGUUCAGGUAUUGACGGUAUUUAACCAGAAAGCCACGGCUAACUACGUGCCAGCAGCCGCGGUAAUACGUAGGUGGCAAGCGUUGUCCGGAUUUAUUGGGCGUAAAGCGAGCGCAGGCGGUUUUUUAAGUCUGAUGUGAAAGCCUUCGGCUCAACCGAAGAAGUGCAUCGGAAACUGGGAAACUUGAGUGCAGAAGAGGACAGUGGAACUCCAUGUGUAGCGGUGAAAUGCGUAGAUAUAUGGAAGAACACCAGUGGCGAAGGCGGCUGUCUGGUCUGUAACUGACGCUGAGGCUCGAAAGUAUGGGUAGCAAACAGGAUUAGAUACCCUGGUAGUCCAUACCGUAAACGAUGAAUGCUAAGUGUUGGAGGGUUUCCGCCCUUCAGUGCUGCAGCUAACGCAUUAAGCAUUCCGCCUGGGGAGUACGGCCGCAAGGCUGAAACUCAAAGGAAUUGACGGGGGCCCGCACAAGCGGUGGAGCAUGUGGUUUAAUUCGAAGCUACGCGAAGAACCUUACCAGGUCUUGACAUACUAUGCAAAUCUAAGAGAUUAGACGUUCCCUUCGGGGACAUGGAUACAGGUGGUGCAUGGUUGUCGUCAGCUCGUGUCGUGAGAUGUUGGGUUAAGUCCCGCAACGAGCGCAACCCUUAUUAUCAGUUGCCAGCAUUAAGUUGGGCACUCUGGUGAGACUGCCGGUGACAAACCGGAGGAAGGUGGGGAUGACGUCAAAUCAUCAUGCCCCUUAUGACCUGGGCUACACACGUGCUACAAUGGAUGGUACAACGAGUUGCGAACUCGCGAGAGUAAGCUAAUCUCUUAAAGCCAUUCUCAGUUCGGAUUGUAGGCUGCAACUCGCCUACAUGAAGUCGGAAUCGCUAGUAAUCGCGGAUCAGCAUGCCGCGGUGAAUACGUUCCCGGGCCUUGUACACACCGCCCGUCACACCAUGAGAGUUUGUAACACCCAAAGUCGGUGG
rnacentral:rRNA from 1 species